rnacentral:rRNA from 1 species
GACGAACGCUGGCGGCAUGCCUUACACAUGCAAGUCGAACGGUAACGCGGGGCAACCUGGCGACGAGUGGCGAACGGGUGAGUAAUACAUCGGAACGUGCCCAGUGGUGGGGGAUAGCCCGGCGAAAGCCGGAUUAAUACCGCAUACGACCUACGGGUGAAAGCGGGGGAUCGCAAGACCUCGCGCUAUUGGAGCGGCCGAUGUCGGAUUAGCUAGUUGGUGGGGUAAAAGCCUACCAAGGCUACGAUCCGUAGCUGGUCUGAGAGGACGACCAGCCACACUGGGACUGAGACACGGCCCAGACUCCUACGGGAGGCAGCAGUGGGGAAUUUUGGACAAUGGGCGCAAGCCUGAUCCAGCCAUGCCGCGUGCGGGAAGAAGGCCUUCGGGUUGUAAACCGCUUUUGUCAGGGAAGAAACGGUCUGGGUUAAUACCUCGGACUAAUGACGGUACCUGAAGAAUAAGCACCGGCUAACUACGUGCCAGCAGCCGCGGUAA